UUGAGAUCCAGCGACUCAUCAAGCUUGUCCUAAACCAUUGUUGAUGAGGGAUAGAAAUAACAAUUGGGCGAUAACUGUCGGCGCUAAGCGGGGCUCAUAACCUAUUGAAGAAUUGGCGACGGUGAUGGGUAACGCUGAUUGUUAUUUCGGAAGGAUUGCCGGUGGCGAAGAUAUUUAGCACGAUAAACUGUUACAAGUAAUGUAAAGAGUAUUGUUAGCGUUCGGCAGGACUUGAGGAGAUUCCUGGUUGGAAUACCGAUCGUUGUGAGAUAAACUAAUAGGCGCAGUCACCGCCCUAAAUACCGGCGCUAGCGGAAAACUCGUACAUUCCGCGAUCUAACUGCACGUACAUUCCGCGAUCUCACUGCGCCGUCCAGACGGUGCCCUAAUGUCUAUCACUUAGCUACCGGAUAUGCAUCGGUAGCCCCAUAAGGUUCUGGGGUAAGUCUUCCCCAUUAGUCAGGCGCAGACCCCCCUGGUCGACAACCACACGAGUUGGGAGAGGACCGUUUCCUCAACACGCCCCCUCGGGCCAUAUCCCAACGAGUACCAAGUUCAUCUGCACACUUCACACUAGGCCCAUAGCAUCUCGGCAACGUUUGAACUUCACCUCGCCCAGAGCCUUCGUUAGCACAUCCGC
rnacentral:lncRNA from 1 species